rnacentral:lncRNA from 1 species
CUGACAGCAGGCUUACAGGACUCAUCCAAACCCUGACAACAGAAAGUCACAGACCACAGUAUGUGUUAAAAUAGGAAAUAUCAUCUGGACGGCACGGAUUAACUAUAUCCCAGAGACAAGGAAGGAGCCAGAUUCGAAAUCCAAGCUGUCUAGGAAGUAAUCUUCAGAAGCAGCUGUUAAAACAGAACACUUUCUGCUAUCUGCCAGAGCCGCCCUGUCAGCUCUGUGUUGGAUUUAAAACAGUGGUGAUCAACUCUUGGAGUCAAGUCAUCUUGCCAGGUUAGAUGCAGAUAUCACUAUCAUGUCUGGCUCAGUGUUCAUUCUCAAUAUGCUAUGUACAAGAUGACCUGUGCACAAUUAGAUGGAAGUCCCUGUGAUUUCACCCCUGCUUCAGGCUGUGAAGAUGAGAAAGGAAACCAGCAGCCUUUCCAGAUGUGAGAAGAGCCUUGCCACAAGAUGCUUGGAGGAAUGAAUGACCAGUGUGCAGGACACCCAGAUGCUGUCCUGGCCCCUUUGGUACUCAGCAUGUAAUCUUAGGAUCAACUUCUUGCUCUUUUUCUAAGAAGUACUCUUGAAUCCGAAGAACAAUAUCAGUUAUUAUCAAUAAUCAUCUGCAUUAGAGCAGAACGAAUACAUUUCUAUCAGGGAAGAGAAAACCACCCAUUCCAUCAUUAAGCUCAACAUCAUUUUAUUGUUUUCAUUAUUAUUUACUAUUGGCAGGUGGGCUGUGCAUGACAGUGCAGAUGCUGGGGCCAGAAGUCUACUCCAUGUAGUUCGUUCUCUCCUCCCACCUCUAUGUGGGUUCCAGCAGUCAAAAUCAGGUUGCCAGGUUUGCACAGCAAACACCUUCAACUGCUAAGCCAUCUUGCUGGCCCAAAGGUUGGCAUCACUGAAGCCUACAGUUUUUUAUGGUCCUCCAUAAAAGAAGUGACAGAAGUCCCCAUUUUCUACCAUAAAGCCUCCACUUUCUUAGAGGCCAGUGGCCAAGACAAGUGAAAAUGAUUCUGACUGUGAUUAUUCUAAUUCUGGUUAUUGGUAAAGUCGCCACUCUCUGUGUUUUGGCAACAUUAGCUCAAAUAAGCAUGGGCCUUUGUUUCUAGGGUGAAACAUGAGCUCUGACUUCUAAAUCAACAGACAAGAAAGUGUAUGAAAUAAAACUUUAAAAGCUGGGUGAUGUCUAAGAUUAUAAGACCAUUAAACAAUACUGGUAAGUACAGAGACACAGCAAAGCAGUAUGGAAACUUGGCUCACGGGUGAGCUCAUGAAACCUGCCUUAUGUGGAGACAGCCUUCCAAUUUGGUUCUGAAGUGAACAAAAAAUAAAGCUUGAUUUAAUCUGGC